GCUGAUUCUAUUUUGCAUACGUUGCUCAUAAUAUUCUCUCAGAGAAGACUUUUCCGUAUGUACUUUAAAUAGAUUUAAAAGUACGGUUAAAUCCGUUUAAUCUUUUAAUAGUUGCCCUUCGAUCGGGAACUUCCUUUUUCCCAAAUGGCUAUCUUAUAAUGGAAACACGAGAUUGUCUUCGUUGAACGGUAAAAUAGAGGAGGAUUACUUUGCAUUUGGUCGAUAGCUUCGUGUUCAGAGAAAGAAGCGCAUACCAUGGACGUGCACGAGAAGUGGAAUUCAAGCAUUUGCCUUCGGAAAGAUUUGGGAUCCAAUAUUCCCUCUUUCAAGCAAAUCCAGCACUGGCAAAAAAUAAAAAGAAAAGAUCGUUUUUCACCAAAAAACGUAUUUGCUGAAUGGGAUGGACUUUGAACCGACGUUAUUCAAAAAUAACAUUUUUAUCGCUCUGUUUACUUUCUAUUUUUGCUGUAUCGUUCGAAAUGAAAUCGAGAGAUGAAAUUUGAGAUACAAUUUCUACAAUAUCGGCCUUUCAAUUAUAAUUAAAAACUUCCACGAUUACGAAAUUUAACAACAAUAGAGGGACUAAAAUAAAUAUUAGUAAUUACUCCAGAGAAAAAACACUGAAUCAGACUGGGGAAGGACCAGCAGAAUUAAAAGCAAUAAUGGAGAAGAGAAGGGCAAUAAAAGACGGGGAGGAACGACAAGAAGGAAGCACGGCAAGCAGGCGAAAGCCCAAAAGUUGCAAUAGCUUUUAGUCAUUAGUUUUUAGUUGUUAGAGAUAGAAUAACUUAAGGGAGUGCAAUACAAUAGAGUGGAUAAGGAGGGAGGUAGAGUAUAUAAGAAGCGAAAUAGAUAUAAGAGAUGUAAAACGGAAAGUUCGUCCAAAGCCGAAAGGCACGGACUAAGUAACAAUAAAUAAAAUAAAUAAUAUUAAUUACUCGAAAUAAAAAAUUGUAAUAAAGCUGAUGAAACUUU